AGCUUUCUAAAAUCUCUUUAGGGGUGUGCGUAGGCUCCUGUGUCUAUGCCUGCUUUUGACUGCCCAGUUGAAGCCUCUUCCUAUGCCUUUUAAAAUUUCACGCACUAUAAGGAGGAAGAGCUCAGGGCUCCCAAAACUUUUUAUUUAGAGGGAAGAAUGCUAGGGAGAUGGGUAUGCAGAGGGUUGACCAAAUUGGAAGAAAAUAUUUAUUCUGUAGUUUGGUGUUGGAAAAGGGAAUUUUCCAAUCAGCCACACCUCAGUGUUGCGGCAAAAUAAUUCUUGGCUCCCCUGGAAACGCAUGGGCAAGGUAGGGCAGAGCUGCUGCUGCUGAUACUGCCACCACCCUGGGCUUCCUGCUGACUCUGGGCUACUCCCUGGGGACAACAGAUUUGCAUUGACGUCCGGGGCUGUCCAGAGGCCCUCAAGAGCCAGUUGUGAGCUGAGCCCAGUAUGGGAAAGAUCUACCUUCUGGAAGCUACUACUACGUGGUGCUUGGAAAGAUGACUCAGUGUAUCGGGAGCCGGGAGAUGGAGCUCUCAGCAGAGUGGCCAGGAUGUUCUGUCAACAUGAAAGCUACAAAAACAGCUCGGGGCUCUGAGCUGAUCCUUAGCCUGGGGUCAUUUUCAGGGAGGGCUGGACAGAGAAGGCGGCCACCGCCCGGGCAUCAGGAUGGGAGCGACACCAGAGGACUCAGGAGAGUGCAGCUUGCUCUGUGAGUGGGUGACAACCUCUUGGCGACUCAGGCUCAGCUGAGGAUGGUGCCAGUGUGCCGGAGACAGCCGUCAUACUGCCGGAUAGAGUGGCUCACUUGCAUGUAUUUGGAACAAAAAAAGGAGAUGCCUGGCAGCCCCGCUCUCUGCAGUGCUGUUGAGCCACCAAUUUUUGUGGUUUUGUGACCACAAGUGCUGACUGAUGCGACAUGACCCCAGUCUUGUCAGUGAAUCAUCACCAGGCUGCUUACUGGAAACUGGAUGCAGCAAGGAAAUAGGAUUUAACCGCUCUCUGCCUCCCAGGAGCCCUGAAAUCAGCAUUCCCAGAGGAAAGAAGAUGGCCAUCUGGGCUUGGCUUCCGGCUCCCCCCAUCUGGCUGGAACACACAUCAGUCACCCCUGUGUAACCUCCUCUGUGCCUUUCCCAUGGAGCACUGUGUCAUAUCACAAGUAGAACUACAAGAAGAUAUUUCUCCUCAGGGCAGAGGCUGGGUCUUCCGAUUGAAUCUCCCUUCUUUCUUCAUUGAGAUCCUCUUCUUCUGGAAGCUGGUUUCACAUGGUGGCUUAGAUUUUUCCAUCUUUGUAUCUAGCACCAUUUGAAAUCAGUGUUUUAGGAGUAAGAAUUGCAGCACAGCCAAGGGUGGACUGCAGAGGAACUGCUGCUCAUGGAACUGGCUCCUCUCCUCUUGCCACUUGAGUCUGUUCGAGAAGUCCAGGGAAGAACUUGAAGAGCAAAAUACACUCUUGAGUUUGUUGGGUUUUGGGAGAGGUGACAGUAGAGAAGGGGGUUGUGUUUAAAAUAAACACAGUGGCUUGAGCAGGGGCAGAGGUUGUGAUGCUAUUUCUGUUGACUCCUAGCAGCCAUCACCAGCAUGAAUGUGUUCGUAGGGCCUUUGAGUGUGGCGAUUGUCAUAUUCUGUUGGAUAACAAUGUAUUGGGUGUCGAUUGUCAUGGGGCAGGGGAGAGGGCAGUACACCUGGAGGACCAUUUUGUCCACAUCGACACCAUCAGUCUGCUCUUAGAGGAUGCCCUGGAGUAUUCGGCGUUGAUUGCGGGGCACCCGAAAUCAGACUUGCCACCUGGACUGUCGAGGUGCAGACCCUGGGAGCACCACUGGCCCAUCUCUUACACAGGCUGACCGAUUUCUCCUGGUGUUCAGAGUCUGUUUUUGUCUAGCACCAUUUGAAAUCGGUUAUGAUGUAGGGGGAAAAGCAGCAGCCUCGAAGCCUCAUGCCAACUCUGGGCAGCAGCAGCCUGUGGUUUCCUGGAAGAUGGAUGGGCAGAGAAUAGGGAAGGAAGAUCAUGCUUUUCCCUACUAACUUCUGUAACUGCAUGUAUGAUACAUUAUUGCAGAGGUAAGAGAUAGUUUAAUGGAUUUUUAAAAACAAAUUACUAUAAUUUAUCUGAUGUUCUCUAGUUGCAUUUUGCUGAAAUGUAGUGCUGUUCUAAAUUCUGUAAAUUGAUUGCUGUUGAAUUAUCUUUCUGUUGAGAAGAGUCUAUUCAUGCAUCCUGACCUUAAUAAAUACUAUGUUCAGUUUAUCA